UUUCAAAAUAAGGGUUUAGAACUGAGGUGCCAAAGUCAUUUUAGUCCAGGGGCCACAUUCAGCCCAGUUUGAUCAAGGGACCAGUAAAAUCACAGAAUAGUAACCUUUAAAUAAUCACAACUCUUAAUUUUCCCUUUGUUUUAGUGCAAAAAAAAAACAUUCUGAAAAUAUUCACAUUUCAAGUCAGACAAAAAAAAGACAAAAAAAACAACAACAAAAAACAACCAAAACAAGACAAAAUAUUACAAAGAUGAGAUGCAAAACAACAAAAAAUGAGACGAACAUCACAACACAAAACAAAACAGAGACAAAAAAUUAGGCAAAAACAAUUAAAGCGACAAAAAAAUAGACAAACGACAAAAACGAGACAAAACAAAUGACAAAAGCGAGAAACAAAAUGACAAAAAAGUAAACAUGAGCAAGAAAAAAAAAGACACACAAAACAAUGAUCAACUAAAACAGAAAAUGAAAAAACAACACAAAAAACACAGACGAACCCUCGCUCUAAAAAUGUCAUAGUAUAGCAUGUUGCUCUAAAAACGUCAUAGUAUAGCAUGUCGCUCUAAAAACGUCAUAGUAUAGCAUGUCACUAUAAAAACGUCAUAGUAUAGCAUGUCGCUCUAAAAACGUCAUAGUAUAGCAUGUCGCUCUAAAAACGUCAUAGUAUAGCAUGUCACUAUAAAAAUGUCAUAGUAUAACAUGUCACUAUAAAAACGUCAUAGUAUAGCAUGUGGCUCUAAAAACAUCAUAGUUUAGCAUGUCGCUCAAAAAAUGUCAUAGUUUAGCAUGUUGCUAUAAAAACGUCAUAGUAUAGCAUGUCGCUAUAAAAACAUCAUAGUUUAGCAUGUCGCUCAAAAAAUGUCAUAGUUUAGCAUGUUGCUAUAAAAACGUCAUAGUAUAGCAUGUCGCUCUAAAAUCGUCAUAUAAAAGCCUUUGGUCCACAAAACAUUGUUUUGUCCCAGCUGUCUGAAGUAGGUGAGGAGCAACACAAAAACAGUCCAAACGCUGGUUUCCAGAGGGUUAGAUGAGUAUUUAUUUGAAAGAGUAAGUUUACAACAACACAACAUGUGAGGGGGUUAAAAGCAAAUGGGUGUUAGUAAAAUAAAAAUAAAUAAACAGAACUAAAAGUGAACUUCCGGUUGACAUUGAUGGACAUUCCAACCAGGAACAAAGUAAAAGAUAAUCAAUAGGAAAAAAAACUCUUCCUGUUCACCUCUUAAAACCCAAAAACACACCGCAGUAGCACCCUAAACUAAAACUACCAAUGGGUUCCCUGUUUUCCUUUGUGAACAAUUCAAAGGUCCCUCUCUAUCUCCCCACACAUCCACCAACCACUGGAACACAUCUCCAAAGUUCUGCUGGACCAGCUCAGCUUCCCCUCAGAAGAAGUGCUGCCACCUGCCAGAUGAAGGAGCCUUUUGAGAGGCAGCUGGCAUCGUGAUUGGACUGUACUUUGGUCUGUUCCAGUCCAGCUUCAGCUCCAGAGACGGCAGGCGGGACGAGUCAACGGAGGCCGGCUGGACGAAGGCAUGCAGCUGAGUACGAUCCAGAAAACAACAGAGGAGGAGUGCAGCAGCCCAGAGCCAGAACAACCAGAGUAGCAUCACCAAAGAACUACAGACUCUUCACAACCUGCUCAAACUCUUGGUACAGGACCUCACCACACGGGUCAAGAAGGUUUCCAUCUCAUUUCUACUCUGAAUCUCACCUUCUCCUGCUCAAACUGCUGACAAAUGUUUCUGCUGCUCUAAAGUCUGGUCUCCAGAACUUCCUGAAAACUCUCAAAGUCUCUUCUGCUGCAGGUUGCUUUGUAGAACUGUUCCAGAAAACCUCACUAAACCACAUGGAGGAGCCUCAAGAUAGUCGUCCAAAUGAAACCGUACAAAAACCAAACUAGCACAACCCAAACGCUAAAGUCUCCUGCAGUCUACCAGAGAACCUCUGAGAACAGAGAAUCAGGACAGGAACUCUUACCUUCUGGACAACCAACGCUGGUUCACAAACAAGAAUACAGAAUGUGUCUGACCAAAAACCUCUAAAGACUCACUACAGCCAAGAUAAAGACACAACUCAGCUGCACCAAAUCCACUAAUCACUGCACACAUUAGCACAAUGUUCUAACUGUGGCUAAAGAACCACAUUUACCAAGACAACUAUCCAGUACAAAGCCCUAAAACACACCAAGAAACACAUUAAAGAUGAUUUUACUGCUGGAAGCUGCAAGCCAACGCCUAAAGAACAAACUAAAGCAAUGGAACCAAACCCGGUUCUGUGGUGAAGAGAAACAGAGGAAAUGUUUGUCUGCAGCUAAAUAAAGCAGGAAGACACUGAGCUGCUCAGGUGUUCCUGAUAACACCAAGCAGCCACCUGGACAGCCAAUAGGAACACAGCUUCCUGGAAGUCCAGAGGGCUGGCUUAGUCAAGGAAAUUUAGUUUAAAGUUGAAGCAGAAAGUUAACAAAGAAAGUUGAAAACCACCUUCUGAUCCCUGAAAUCUCUGAGUUUUCACACAAAGAACGCCUGAACAUGUCAAACUGGUUCCAUAGUAGAACCAUCAUUGUAAAAACAUCAUAGUAUGGUGUGUUGCUCAAAAAACAUUAGGACCCGGCUGUCUAGGGUCACCGAGGAGCAACACAAAAACAGGACAAACGCUGGUUUCCAGGGGGUUAGGAGGCUAUUUAUUUGAAAGAGGAAGUUUACAACAACACAACAUGUGAGCAGAAACAUCACAGUCUGUCUUUAGUUCAGCUGAAAAUAUUAGUUUUUGUCUUUUUUAUUGACCAAACUUUUCAGGAAGUAGAAAGAAAAAAAUCUUAGUUUAGUAUGUUGUCCAAAAUGUGACGACAUACUAUAUUUUCGACAUAGUAUACUAUGGCGAUUUUUUUUGCGCCAAAAUUCAUGAUGAUUUUUUUUUUUCAAAGAAAACCAUUCUGGAGUGUUUUUCAUGGCCUCCUUUACAUUAUUUCAUCAUAUGGCACAUUUUUACAACAUGUUGAAAAAUCUCAUUUUUUUUUCAACAUAGUAUACUAUUGUCAGGCUGGCUGCUUCCAGGCCUAGUUAGUGCCCUCCCCUCUCCUUCCUCUUUCCUUUUAGGGCAGCCCAGCAGUGCACAGGAGGCAACAGGUGUUCCCCAUCGGCCAUAAUCAGCCAGCUCAUGAACAGGUAGAUUUCAACCAAUCAAGCUUCAUCUAGUCCACAAUAUAACCAGACACGACCCAGCUCUCAGUGCCGGAUCCUAAACACAGUCCUUCUGGGCCCACCUGUUCCUGCCGUUGUUGCCGUCAGCACUGGACCCUGGUCAUCACCUCUGAGACAAGGAAGCACUCACCUGAGCCGACUCCCUCUUUCUGGCGUCCUUUCCCACUCACCUGUUGCUGUUUCAAGCCCUCCACCAUCUGGCCUGAAGCACACUGCUCCAAACCCUGGCUGCUACUGUGGUGGACCUGUUCUGAGUGUUCCCAGUAUAAUUCGUGAGUUGUAGUCCAGUCAUCGUUAUAGCUCUGGUUAAAGAAGCACCGUAUGUUGAGAAGACUUCUGUUGUAGUUACCUCUCGCUAUCCUUGUAAAGAUAGCCUCAGGUUAGUUUAGUAUUCUUGAGAUUGACCUUUCUCGCCUAGGUGUGACCUACCGCGAGUUAGUGAUUAUUUUGUCUUGUUACAGUUCCACCCGGCCCCUAGGUGCUGCUGUAAGAUCCAGAGCCUUUGCUCUUUAUUUCCGUUUCCUGUUUAAAUCCUAAUUUCCGCUUGUAGUCCAAGAAACCUUUGAAAAUAAAUCUGUGUUGCAUUCAA